rnacentral:rRNA from 1 species
UACGAAGGGGGCGAGCGUUGUUCGGAAUUACUGGGCGUAAAGGGCGCGUAGGCGGCGACCCAAGUCAGAUGUGAAAGUCCUGGGCUUAACCUGGGGGACUGCAUUUGAUACUGGGUUGCUUGAAUUCGGGAGAGGAUAGCGGAAUUCCCAGUGUAGAGGUGAAAUUCGUAGAUAUUGGGAAGAACACCGGUGGCGAAGGCGGCUAUCUGGACCAACACUGACACUGAGGAGCGAAAGCCAGGGGAGCAAACGGG